UACGAAGGGGGCUAGCGUUGCUCGGAAUCACUGGGCGUAAAGCGCACGUAGGCGGCUUUUUAAGUCAGGGGUGAAAUCCCGGAGCUCAACUCCGGAACUGCCUCUGAUACUGAGGAGCUUGAGUUCGGGAGAGGUGAGUGGAACUGCGAGUGUAGAGGUGAAAUUCGUAGAUAUUCGCAAGAACACCAGUGGCGAAGGCGGCUCACUGGCCCGAUACUGACGCUGAGGUGCGAAAGCGUGGGGAGCAAACAGG
rnacentral:rRNA from 1 species